UUCCGCUCUUCGGCGCGCAUGCGCGCUACCGCCUGGAGGGCUCAUCACAAUCGAGAUCGGCGGAUUAGCUGCGCAGAGCGGUCAGAACGCAGUGAUGCCACUUCCGCUUUUCAGCACGCAUGUGCGCUACUGCCGGGUGGACUAAUCGCAAUAGAGAUCGGCGGAUUCGCUGCGCAGAGCGGUCAGAACGUAGGUACGCCACUUCCGCUUUCCGGCGCGCAUGCGCGCUACUGCCUGAAGGAUCUUAGCAGCGCAUCCCGUACCGAAUUCUCUUCGAUUGGCGGGAGCAGUGAGUACUGCUCAGCCAGUGCGCGAUGCUAGGGCUGGCACCUGACGGUCAUGUGCAACGCUAAGCCAAUCGGGUGCCGCAGUGUGCGCAUGUGACGCUAGGAAUAAAAGCUGUCCGUUCCCCGGUUCGGACUCGGGCAUAGAACCGUGGAAAUAGAGAAAGGCCAUUAUGGAUUCGCAGGGCGGAAUAUCGCUGAGCCGACGGUCCAGGAAUUGACUCCUCCCUGCCCUUUACUGGAUCGUAGAGACGGGUGAUAGUUGUACUCUUUCCGACGCAUGCGCGCUUCUGCCUGGAGGGCUAAUCACAAUAAGGAUUGGCGGAUUCGCUGCGCAGUGCGGUCAGAACGUGGGUACGCCUAUUCCGCUUUUCGGUGCGCAUGCGUCAUGCUGCCUGGGUCACCAAGCGCAGGCAGCGGCAGUUCUGCGGAUUGGCCACGCGGUGGCAGCUGAGACCACGGGAAGAACUCGUCCGAUGGGAUCGGCGCGGCUCCCCAGCCCCGUCCUGGCGUUCUGUUUUCUCUUUCUUCUGACGACAGAAGACAAAGUCAGAGGAGAAGGGGAAAAACAACAAAAAAAGAAACAAAGAAAACCAAUCACAGACCUCAAAUAAAGAGGGAAUCAUUCGCCCGUCUCCAAGGACCAGGGCUCACCCCACACUCACCGGUUCAGGCUGUGACCUAACAGUUCCCAUACAGAAAUGAAGCAAAAAAAGCCCAGAAGAUUGGAGAAUGAGGGCUGGGGGUGGCAGUGGCAGUGCUACAGUGUAGGGUCUGCAAGUGCAAUGUCUCGAUGCGUCCUCUGCGUGACUGAGGAGUGAGUGGUCCCCUGAGUUGCCAGUGCAGUCAGCAUUAUUAGAGCUCCAAUGCUGGGAGAACAGGGUUGCAGCUGCCUCUACUCCUAUCUAGAUGUCAGCAGCUGGGAACAAUCCUGGAAGCUGUAGUCCCCACCUGGGACCUCUGCCCUCCCUCUGCACCAUUCCCUGAGCUCAUCCCAACACCAAGACUCAGACAGAAGAAGCCAGUGCAAGCAUUGUUCUUGAAUAUGUAUUUUUUACUGAAAAAAUCAUUCAUAAAUUAACAGAUACAAAAAUGUACAAACACAUGGGUAAAUAAAUGUAAUGAGACAAA